rnacentral:lncRNA from 1 species
CGUGAAAUGAAAAUUAAAAACAUAAUAACAUAUUACUUCAUACCCACUAGUCUGGGUAUAAUAUCCAACACUGUGAAAGAUAUAUACACAAAUUCAAUUACAAUCAUGCAAUGGAAUACCACUGAGCAAUGUGGAUGAAUCUCAAAAACAUUAGUUUUAGAAAAAACAAGGUAGGAAAAUUAAAAGAUUGCAUACUUAUGAUUCUACCUAUUUGAAGUUAAAGAACGGACAAAAGUAAGCUAUGGCAAAUGAAAUGACAGCAUUUAUUUCUUAUAGGUGAGGAUUGAUUAGAAAGCAGUUUAUUUUCAGGAGAAAAUUAACCAGAUUCAAAAUAAAGGAGGGCAAGAAUGAGAUAAACAAUAUUCUGCCAGGAGAAUUGUGAUUCCCCCAACCUCUGAUACCCACAAGCCCCAGAACACUAGGAACCAGCAGUGAUGCUUAUAUCUAAUAAGAAAGAAAACUGUGAUUUAUUUAUUGAUUUACUUAUUUAUUCAUUUUUGCUUUAUUUGGAAAAGUGAACCACAACAAGAGAAAAGAUCUCCAGAUACUGAUUUUAUGUGCCUCAGCCAGAAGAUACUGUAUUAAUAGAUGCCUGUUGCAGCAAGCCAAGAAAAUAACCAGUCCAGACUGAGGCAGGAUAAGUAAGUGUUCACGGAGUUUUAUCUUCUGAGGAAAGAACAUUAAUCUAUUACUUAUGGGGUAUGACCCAGUGAAGUGCAAUUGUUGAGAAAAUAUAAUGAAAAACAAAAUCUUCUCUCUACCUAGAAAAUCUCCCCACAAGGAUGGAAAAGAAAGAAAACAUGACGAUUAUUGAAUAAGACUUCAACCAUGAUGCAUAUCACAGGCAAUCUCCUAAGAGACUGCAAAGACAGAGGAAUCUUCUCACCCUUUUAUAAAGCCAAGCAAAUAUACCCCAUCAUGAACAGGUCCUCAAAAUAACAACUAGUCCUCUAGUAAGAGCACUUGACAAUGCCAUUUGUCACAUGUAGUUCAUCCUAAAUUCAUUUGGUAGUUUUAAUGACCAACUGUGGUAGCUAAUUUGGCUUUAUGCAAAAGAAAAAUAAAUUUCUAAGCAUCCACCAAAGUUAGCCUCCCACCGUCCCUCAGGAAAUGGGAGAAGUACUAUUUUCCUUGAAGAUUUCAUUUCAAAGAAAUGCUUCCCACCAAUUCCUUGAGAAAGACAUCCCUGGGUUGUAAAGCUGCUGAGAGUCUUAUUUAAACUUUCAAAAGGUGUACAGCAUUUCAAAGAGCAAGGGAAGACCUUAUAAUUACAAAUUUUCUAAUGUAAAUGCUCUAAGAAAAGAGAGUGGCAGAUGAAAUCUCCCUUAUUUCUAAUGGAGAGAAUUAUGCUUCUUACUUUUAAUUUGUAUUUACCCUUACACGAGUGAAAUAAAAACUUCCUCUGCCUUAAAAAUACUUAAUAGACUCUGCUGCAAUUUUAAAAACUUAUUUAGAAAUAUUGAAAUAAACUGAAGACAUCAUCAGUAAAAUGUCCUUUGAAGGAUAGUAUUGAUGUCUUUUAUAAUGGAGAAGGAGAGAUGGAGCACGUGAAAGCUCUUUGCAGUUUCUGUGCAAUUUUUGGUAAUUUUAAAACUGCUAUGAAAAAUAAAAUUUAUUAAUCCUUUUAAAUGUCAUAAAAACUGUCUUUUAAAGAAUGGACUAAUGGAAAAAGUAGACACAAGCAUUUUCUGGGAUGUUUAAUUCAGGCUUAAUUUUCACCGAUUUUUUUAGUUUUCACUGUAUUACCACGUAAAACUUCGAUUAAACAUUAAAGUUUAAUGCAAAGAAAAAUCAUAUUUCUCACAUUCUUUACUCAAUGACUUUUUAAAUGCACUUUACUAUGUCCAGAACUGUGUUUUUGUCUCUGCCUAUGUCGGCAGCCUUACUUCACUGCAAUCUCCCUUUAUCUCACUAGUCUUCAGACAUGUUUAUUAUUAUCUUAGUAUUUUAUAAGUCAUAAAAUUUGACAAAUCAUUCCUUGCCCUAGGCUUUCUCCAAAUGGAAUUCCCUUUUCUCAGCUCCGCAUGUGGGGAGCUAAUAUUCAUUCUCAGGUCACAGCUUUCUCUGACUCCAAUAACUUAGAUCACUCUGCUUCACUCUUUCAGGCGACCUUAUGUUCUUCUACUUGGAACUCAUCACCCAGAAGAGUACUUAGGUUAUUGUGAUUACUUAAUUAAUAUUUGUUUAAUGUUAGUACUUUUGAAAGAAAUGAUCUAAUGGAUUGAUUGUAGCUCCGGUAAAAAAUUUGAAACCUUCAUGAAUUGAAAACACACAAAAAAUAAUACUAUCAAUCUGAACACCCUUGAAUCAUUAACUACUUUGAUUUAACAUCAUCUAAAAUAUAACAUUAAAACUUGAACAAUGUAAUGAUAUAAAGGCACAUAGAAUGUAAUCUAUUAAUUAAAACAUAGUAUGAAAUUCGAAAUAAAAUAGUUCAGUAGGCAGUGAAUUGCACACAACUCACUGGAGAUAUCAAAAUUAUUUAAAUAGACAUAGAAGCUUUUGAUCAGUUUAUUCUAUUGCUAUUUAAAAUUACUUUGCCAUUGAAUUUUAUUCAGUUAAAAUUGUCAAGUUUUCAAAUAUUUCACAAAACUCUCUUCAACAUUCUGAAACAAAAUAAAACUUUAAGGAGACAACAUUGGUGUCUCAGUAUGAAGCAAGGCUCACCGCAUGGUGAGAAUGUAAGACCAAUAACCAUCCAAAUCAAUGUGGACUUCACACUUAAUAAUGGGUUUUCUUCUUUGCCAUGGCCAGUAACAUAUAUCAAUAAAGUAAAAGCCUUGUCAUGGAGGAGGAAAGUGGACAAAACUAUGAAAUGCUAGAAAAAACAAAAAAUUAAAAAUAGCUAAUAUGUUUAAGUACUUAGUAUUGACCAGAUAUUGUGAUCUAGAGAAAGAAAGGAACAGAGGAAGGAGUAUAAUUUUUUUUACCCAUUCUGAUUUAUAGGACAUAAUAAAACAAGAAUUUUCAUGAAUUUAAAUAUUAAUUACGAAAAUAACGUCAGAUAGCAAUUUAUUCAAAGCAUAUCCCAUUCCCAGUUCAGAGGCUGAAUAUGUGCCCACCAAUUUCUUUCUUUUUUUUUUUUUUUUGAGACAGAGUCUCGCUCUGUCGCCAGGCUGUAGUGCAGUGCUGCGAUCUUGGCGCACUGCAAACUCUGCCUCCCUGGUUCAAGCAAUUUUCCUGCCUCAGCCUCCCGAGUAGCUGGGAUUACAGGCACAUGCCACCACUCCUGGCUAAUUUUUGUAUAUUAGUAGAGACCGGAUUUCACAAUGUUGGCCAGGCUGGUCUUGAUGUCUUGACCUCAUGAUCCGCCGCCGCGACC